rnacentral:rRNA from 1 species
GAUGAACGCUGGCGGCGUGCUUAACACAUGCAAGUCGAACGGUGAAAGAGAGCUUGCUCUCUGGAUCAGUGGCGAACGGGUGAGUAACACGUGAGCAAUCUGCCCCUGACUCUGGGAUAAGCGCUGGAAACGGCGUCUAAUACCGGAUACGAGCUGCGAAGGCAUCUUCAGCACCUGGAAAGAACUUCGGUCAGGGAUGAGCUCGCGGCCUAUCAGCUAGUUGGUGAGGUAACGGCACACGAAGGCGUCGACGGGUAGCCGGCCUGAGAGUGUGACCGGCGCCACGACGACUGAGGCACGGAGCAGUGUCCUACUUGAGGCAGCGGGGGGGAAUAUGGCACAAUGGGUGAACGCGAGAGACAGCAACGCCGCGGGAGGGAAGACCGCCCUGGGGGUGUAAACCUCUGUGCGCAGGGAAGGAGCGAAAGUGACGGUACCUGAAGAAGAAGCACCGGCUAACUACGUG